rnacentral:lncRNA from 1 species
CUCUGUUGGCAUUCUACUUUUCAGUUGUUCAAUUGAGUCAUGGAGUCAUUACUUUGCUACUGCCAUGGAGUCAUUACUUUGUUGAUUAAAGCAAUAAAUAAAUAACUAUUUUUUUUAUAAAGAAAAUAUAUAAAAUUGCUGGAGAGAAGGUUCUGAUUCUGAUGAUGUUCACUAAGGAUCAAGAUGCAGAUAUUAGAUAUUGGCCAGUGGGUUCUGCUAAUUAUGAAAGCAAACAUAUGUAUACCAAAAGUGUCACAAGGAUAAUUCAAGAACGAAAACCACACAUACCGGGAUACUUUUUACUACAAGCAUAAAUUGGAUGAUAAACUUUAAAAUUGAUAAACAACAAAUGUCUUACAACAAACUCUUACAAUGCACUUAAUUUGACUCCGUCAAAUUGUUAGAACAAAUUCAAUCAACUAUUCCCUUUCCUUUCCCCACUUUACGGAGGUUUUAAAUCGAAAGAAAUAUUUCGUGAACACCCCACUUUGGCAGUAGCUCAAAUUUGUAAAUCCAAAUACAUCUGCUCAUCCAAAGUGCCAAAAAUGUAGUUACCAAAAGCCCAUCAGAAUCCUAGUACAAGUUAAUAUAAAUUUUCAUCACUGUCAUUACAAUUCCUCUCCACCACAGUCAUAGUAUAGCUAGAACCACUCUUCUUCCAACACUCUCCUGAUCUCCUCCUCGUUGAACUUGUCGUUGUAUACCUUUAGUUUUGCCAUCAAAGGUGGUAAAUCCCCAAAUGUAACUUUGCCAUUCUGAUUCUUUAUAGAUAUGAACUAAAAACAAUAAAAACAAUGACAAGAACAAGAACAAUGACAUGAACCCCACACUUCAAACAUCAAUUAAGUACACAACAAUGCCCAAAAACAAGUUCCAAAAUUCUCAUUGUGAAAGCAAAUUUAUUUCACCACACGAUUCAACAAUAGCACCAAAAAACAAAUAAGAAAAAAAAUUAUUAAAUGGAAGUUACUUUGGAUUUGAGGCUCCGAAGUUCGACUUGCGUAAACUAACUCUAAAGCCAUUGAUCGGACACAAUAACUCCCCCAAAACUAGACAUCUCUUCGAUGCCCCUACGCUUCCACAAAUCACGGGAAAAAUGAUAAAAUGCACUCCAAAGAUACAACUAAUCUGAGAAAAAAAAAGUGUUGUUGUGGAAGAAUCGAUCUGGGGAGGAUUUUGCAGGAAAUUGAUUUGGGGCUAGGGUUUGGAUUUCGAAUUGGGGAUGGCAGAAUAUGGAUUGUGAAAUUAUGAGAUGAAUUAUCGUGUUUUUAGCUGUGAAAUCGCGUCCACCGUGGCUGAGAUUGAGGCCGUCUCUUGCCACACCGGUUGCCGUCAAGCCACGUGAGACUUGUUCAAACGGCCGGAUGGCUAGGUAAUGGAUGGAGCGGUUCAUUUGUAAGUUCAAUGACCGUUGAGCAGCAAACUAAAGUUCAGUGACUAUAACGUGACAGAGAGCAAAGUUAAGUGAGUGAUGAAAUUUUUUACUCGAGACUAAUUUCCCCUUUUAAUUUUGGGUUUAAGCCUUUAUACACAAUUAAUUAUAUUCCAACAUAUCUUCUUCAAUCACUUUCACUUGCACGAAACCGAACUUCAUUGUUCAAGAAAACAAGCCUUUUUUCUCCCGCGGUUCAAAGCAUCAGAUUCGAAAUGGCUUUGGCGGUCACAGUUGCAACACCAAAAAGGU